AGAGUUUGAUCCUGGCUCAGAGCGAACGCUGGCGGCGUGCCUAACACAUGCAAGUCGAACGAGAAAGUCCCGGCUUGCCGGGAUGAGUAAAGUGGCGCACGGGUGAGUAACGCGUAGGUGACCUACCCCUAAAUCUGGGAUAACCUCGCGAAAGCGGGGCUAAUACUGGAUAAGACCACGGUAUGAGCCUUCAUACUGGGGUAAAAGGUGGCCUCUCCAUGGAAGCUAUCGUUUAGGGAUGGGCCUGCGUACCAUUAGUUUGUUGGUAGGGUAAUGGCCUACCAAGGCUACGAUGGUUAGCUGGUCUGAGAGGAUGAUCAGCCACACUGGAACUGGAACACGGUCCAGACUCCUACGGGAGGCAGCAGUGGGGAAUAUUGCGCAAUGGGGGAAACCCUGACGCAGCAACGCCGCGUGAGUGAAGAAGGCCUUCGGGUUGUAAAACUCUGUUGAGUGGGAAGAACCAUCUAAGGUCUAAUAAACCUUGGAUNGGACGGACCAC
rnacentral:rRNA from 1 species